rnacentral:rRNA from 1 species
UACGGGGGGGGCAAGCGUUGUUCGGAAUUACUGGGCGUAAAGGGCUCGUAGGCGGCCAACUAAGUCGGACGUGAAAUCCCCAGGCUCAACCUGGGAACUGCGUCUGAUACUGGAUGGCUUGAAUCCGGGAGAGGGAUGCAGAAUUCCAGGUGUAGAGGUGAAAUUCGUAGAUAUUGGGAAGAACACCGGUGGCGAAGGCGGCGACCUGGUCCUUGACUGACGCUGAGGCGCGAAAGCGUGGGGAGCAAACAGG